GAUGAACGCUAGCGGCAGGCUUAACACAUGCAAGUCGAGGGGUAUUGGUUUUCGGACCAAGAGACCGGCGCACGGGUGCGUAACGCGUAUGCAAUCUACCUUUUGCAGAGGGAUAGCCCCAGAGAAAUUUGGAUUAAUACCUCAUAGUAUAGUACUUUGGCAUCAAGGAACUAUUAAAGUCACAACGGCAAAGAUGAGCAUGCGUCCAUUAGCUAGUUGGUAAGGUAACGGCUUACCCAAGGCUACGAUGGGUAGGGGUUCUGAGAGGGAGAUCCCCCCACACUGGUACUGAGACACGGACCAGACUCCUACGGGAGGCAGCAGUGAGGAAUAUUGGACCAAUGGGCGCAAGCCUGAUCCAGCCAUGCCGCGUGCAGGAUGACGGUCCUAUUGGAUUGUAAACUGCUUUAUUACAGGAGAAACACUCCGACGUGUCGGAGCUUGACGGUACUGU
rnacentral:rRNA from 1 species